rnacentral:rRNA from 1 species
UGGGGAAUAUUGCACAAUGGAGGAAACUCUGAUGCAGCAAUGCCGCGUGUGUGAAGAAGGCCUUCGGGUUGUAAAGCACUUUCAGACGUGAGGAAAAGUUGUUAGUUAAUAACUAACAGCCCUGACGUUAACGUCAGAAGAAGCACCGGCUAACUCCGUGCCAGCAGCCGCGGUAAUACGGAGGGUGCAAGCGUUAAUCGGAAUUACUGGGCGUAAAGCGCGCGUAGGUGGUUAUUUAAGUCAGAUGUGAAAUCCCUGGGCUCAACCUAGGAACUGCAUUUGAUACUGGAUAACUAGAGUAUGGUAGAGGUGAGUGGAAUUUCAGGUGUAGCGGUGAAAUGCGUAGAGAUCUGAAGGAACAUCAGUGGCGAAGGCGACUCACUGGGCCAUUACUGACACUGAGGUGCGAAAGCGUGGGUAGCAAACA